AGUGCAGCAUCUUAAAUAUUUCAUUGAUUGGUAUUAUGAAUUCAACUCACGUUGCAGAAGGAAGUUCUAAUCGUAAACAAGCAUAUCAACAGCACCUUCAGUGGUUUUAUGAUGAGUUUUAAAUGUAAUAUUUGUGCUCAUUAUGAACAGUGAAUGGGAAUGGGGAAUAUCCUGGCUGGCUUUGGAGAAUGGGAAAAACCCGGGGACAUGUUCUACAGGUAUCCGAACUAUCAAAGACCCAUCUCAAAAGGAAGGUUGCAGAGAUCUCCUUAAACACAGAAAUAAAGUAGCCAGAUCAUUCCAGAUAUUUUACCACAUCAGUUUGCUCAUUAACACUGGAUAUUUGCCUUUGAACAUGUGAUCAACCUUCAUAAGAAAGCAUCGAGGAAAUCAGAUGUGAAGAACAUGCUGCCUCUGGGAUUUGCUGACUGGGUUUGCACCUCAUAAUAUUCCUUGAUGCUGUAGGAUCGUCUCUGUGAACCAGAAAUCAGAGAACGAAGAUGCAUUAAACUUUGCAUUGAAAGA